AUAGAAAAGAACUACUAAUUGGUGGAACUGAUUUUAAAGUGAAUGAAGAGAAUCCUCCAGCCUUACAUCUUCUCAUGACUCAAGCAAGAACGCAUCAGAGAGCUCCAAAACUGCCCAGUGAUGCAUCUCUAGCGUGUUUUCUUAGAACUGGAAGGUCAUGUCAAAUGGGAGAUAGGAUGGCUGGAGCUGAAACCUCUUCUGCUAACACCUAGUGACUUCUAUAGCUGUGGUAAGUGGAUUGUGCAUGCCUAGCUUCAAAGUGACACAGUGCAGACAAGACAUGAGCU
rnacentral:lncRNA from 1 species